rnacentral:tRNA from 1 species
GCGGGCGUGGCGGAACUGGUAGACGCGCUGGAUUCAAAAUCCAGUUCUGGUUACAGAGUGUCGGUUCGAUUCCGACCGCCCGCACCA